CCUACGGGUGGCAGCAGUGAGGAAUAUUGGUCAAUGGGCGCGAGCCUGAACCAGCCAAGUCGCGUGAGGGAGGACGGCCCUACGGGUUGUAAACCUCUUUUGCCGGGGAGCAACGGGCGCCACGUGUGGCGUCGCUGAGAGUACCCGGAGAAAAAGCAUCGGCUAACUCCGUGCCAGCAGCCGCGGUAAUACGGAGGAUGCGAGCGUUAUCCGGAUUUAUUGGGUUUAAAGGGAGCGUAGAUGGGUUGUUAAGUCAGGUGUGAAAGUUUGCGGCUCAACCGUAAAAUUACAAUUGAUACUGGCAGUCUGGAGUAAAGUUGAGGUAGGCGGAAUUCGUGGUGGAGCGGUGAAAUGCUUAGAUGUCACGAAGAACUCCGAUUGCGAAGGCAGCUUACUAAACUGCCACUGACAUUGAUGCUCGAAAGUGUGGGUAUCAAACAGGAUUAGAUACGCGAGUAGUC
rnacentral:rRNA from 1 species